GUUUAGUCCUGAUCGGAAGACAUCUAUGGGAUUAGUGCAGCAUGAAUGAGGGCCUUGUGUUGUUGGCUGCCAUUCAAACUUAUGUCCUCAAACAUCUCUUGUUCCCUUCAGAGGAACUAAGUAACUUUGCAUCACCUGUUGAAAACCUUACUUCUUUUACUGACGAGGGCUCUAAUCAAAAGUAUGGUUGAGAUUUUAUUUCUGUUGGAAAUGGUGAGAGAGCUGUUAUUGAAAUUUGAGUAUUUUCAAUAAUGCGAUUCAGGGAUCUGAAGGUUUGAUGAAUGAUGUGAUUGUAAAAACACUUGAAGGCUUUUCGAUUCAAUUGGGUUCUGAUCUGCAGAAAGUUCUGAGAGUUAUGUCUCAGAAAUCAAAGGAAGAGGCAAUCCAAAGACUUUAAACUAUGCUUCAUGUUUUCAACAGUUGUUUCAUUUCUGUUCUACUUUCCAGAGGACGGGAUUGCAUCCAAGCAGAAAGGGAUGAUCCAAUUCAACCUUUGGCCACUGCUUCAUUUGGUCAUGCAUCACAGG